UAUGUCCUGGGGGUGAAACUGCAUAAUUGAGAAGGAGUCAAUGCCAGUUGUGGUUAAUUGUGACUUACAAAAUGGAGUCUUGAGAAUAUCUAUGCAACUUUACCAAUGACAUGUUUGUACAAAGCAGGGAAUUAAGACACACUUCCUCAGAGAGUAUUUGCUUUUGUAUUUUGUACCUAUUUGCAUAAUCCCAUUUAAACUAUUAAUAGAAUUUGUCAAACUAAAAGUAUAUGUACAGCUUAGAUAUGCUGCAGAGAAUUCAAGUUCAGACUAUGACUUUUUUCCUGUCAAAAACUGCAAACUACCAUUUACUUGUUGUUUCAAGACAGCUGUUUCCAUGGGCUUGAAGUUUAAUUAAUUAAGAGUGACCUAUGAGCUGUGAUUUUGUUUCUUAAGCAGUUUCAUAAGUGACCUUACUUAUCCCAUAGUGACCACAUUGUAAUUUUUGCAUUAAAAAAUCAAACAACAAAACAUUUUAAUUGAUUUUCUAGGGCUACCAUAACAAAGUAUCAUAGACUAGGUGGUUUAAACAACAUAAUUUUUUUUUUUAUCUUAGGGUUCUGGAGCUUGGAAGUCCAAAAUCAAGGUUUGACAGGUUGUUUCUUUCUGAGGACUAUGAGAGAAGAAGUUGUUCCAGGACGUGAGACUUCAAAAACUGCUGAAAAUGAGCUUUCCUAACAAUGAUGGGCCUAUUUGUCUAGGAAUACAUCAUCCUAGCAACGAGAGAUCAGACAAAACCCAAGAUAAGAUACUAAUUUUCUUCUAAAAUGCUUUCUCAGAAAAAUUGUAAAAAGAGGGGAAAAUGUGAAUGGAAAAUGAAAUCUUGGGACCCCAAUUUACUCUGCCAAAAGAAAAGAAAAUUAAGCUGAAAGGCUCUCUCGCCUUUAAACAUUAAAGCCCUCAAAAUCAACUUUGGAAAAAUGCACGGACCUGUCCCACAGGUGAGUGACAUUAACCUUGGCAAAAUAAACUUCUAAAUUGAUGGAGACCUGUCUCAGAUACUUUCAUGUUUACAUCUUCAGUGGGGAUAUUUUAAACACAG